rnacentral:rRNA from 1 species
GAUGAACGCUGGCGGCGUGCUUAACACAUGCAAGUCGAACGGAAAGGCUCCUGCUUGCAGGGGUACUCGAGUGGCGAACGGGUGAGUAACACGUGGGUGAUCUGCCCUGCACUUCGGGAUAAGCCUGGGAAACUGGGUCUAAUACCGGAUAGGACCACAUUUUGGAUGGUGUGGUGGAAAGUUUUUCGGUGUGGGAUGAGCUCGCGGCCUAUCAGCUUGUUGGUGGGGUAAUGGCCUACCAAGGCGUCGACGGGUAGCCGGCCUGAGAGGGUGUACGGCCACAUUGGGACUGAGGGAGGGCCCCAGUCCCGACGGGGGGGAACAGGGGGGAAUCUUGACAAAUGGGGGCAGCCCGAUUGCAGAGGGGCCGGGGGGGGGAAAGCGCCCUUGGGGGUGAAAACUCCUUGCGUAGGGGACAAAGCUUUUUUGGGCGGGACCUAGGAAGAAAAGCACGGGUAAAUACGGU